GUUUUAUAGUUGAUCAAGUUCUGCACGGCACAGUUAUUAACAGCACAGGGUCGUUAUAGAGAUAUAUAUUUGUGUGCGAAUGUUUUUAUAAACAUCGGGAUCUUCACAUCCCUCCAGGUGAUCCCUGAAUAAAGACCUUAAACCCCA